CUGGAAAGAUAACGGUGGUUGUUUACCCGCCUUGGACGCGGGAGGCCGCAGGUUCGAAUCCUGCUUUCCAGACCA
rnacentral:tRNA from 2 species